rnacentral:misc_RNA from 1 species
GUGAGUCAUCGAAUCUUUGAACGCAUAUUGCGCCCUCUGGUAUUCUGGGGGGCAUGCCUGUCCGAGCGUCAUUGCUAUCCUCAAGCUUGGCUUGUGUGUUGGAUCCUGUCUUCAGUGGACUGAUCUGAAAAGCAGUGGUGUUACCGUGUCUGGUGCCUGAGCAUAUAGGGCUUUGUCACUCGCUCCGCACGGCCAUGGUAGCUCUUUGCCAUAUGUAAAAAGUUAUCUCUAAGUUGACCUCGGAUCAGGUAGGGAUACCCGCUGAACUUAAGCAUAUCAAUAAGCGGAGGA